rnacentral:rRNA from 1 species
CAGCCGCCGCGGUAAUACCGGCGGCCCGAGUGGCGGCCACUCUUAUUGGGCCUAAAGCGUCCGUAGCCGGGCUGGUAAGUCCUCCGGGAAAUCUGGUCGCUUAACGAUCAGACUUCCGGAGGAUACUGCUGGCCUAGGGACCGGGAGAGGCCGAGGGUAUUCCCGGGGUAGGGGUGAAAUCCUGUAAUCCCGGGAGGACCACCUGUGGCGAAGGCGCUCGGCUGGAACGGGUCCGACGGUGAGGGACGAAGGCCAGGGGAGCGAACCGGAUUAGAUACCCGGGUAGUCCUGGCUGUAAACGAUGCGGACUAGGUGUCGGGCAAGCUAAGGGCUUGUCCGGUGCCGCAGGGAAGCCGUUAAGUCCGCCGCCUGGGGAGUACGGCCGCAAGGUUGAAACUUAAAGGAAUUGGCGGG